rnacentral:rRNA from 1 species
CUUACUCCUACGGGAGGCAGCAGUAGGGAAUCUUCCGCAAUUGGCGCAAGCCUGAUGGAGCAACGCCGCGUGAGUGAAGAAGGGUUUCGGCUCGUAAAGCUCUGUUGUUAAAGAAGAACACGUAUGAGAGUAACUGUUCAAUCCCUUGACGGUAUUUAACCAGAAUACCGUCCCCGGCUAACUACGUGCCAGCAGCCGCGGUAAUA